rnacentral:tRNA from 1 species
GCGGCGGUAGCUCAAUGGCAGAGCCUCGGCCUUCCAAGCCGAUUAUGCGGGUUCGAUCCCCGUCCGCCGCU